UACGAAGGGUGCAAACGUUGCUCGGAAUUAUUGGGCGUAAAGAGCUCGUAGGCGGUGUGUCGCGUCGGCCGUGAAAACCUGCAGCUUAACUGUGGGCUUGCGGUCGAUACGGGCAUCACUGGAGUUCGGCAGGGGAGACUGGAAUUCCUGGUGUAGCGGUGAAAUGCGCAGAUAUCAGGAGGAACACCCGUGGCGAAGGCGGCUCUCUGGGACGUGACUGACGCUGAGACGCGAAAGCGUGGGGAGCGAACAGG
rnacentral:rRNA from 1 species